AGUGAACGCUGGCGGUAGGCCUAACACAUGCAAGUCGAACGGCAGCACAGUAAGAGCUUGCUCUUACGGGUGGCGAGUGGCGGACGGGUGAGGAAUACAUCGGAAUCUACUUUUUCGUGGGGGAUAACGUAGGGAAACUUACGCUAAUACCGCAUACGACCUACGGGUGAAAGCAGGGGAUCUUCGGACCUUGCGCGAUUGAAUGAGCCGAUGUCGGAUUAGUUAGUUGGCGGGGUAAAGGCCCACCAAGGCGACGAUCCGUAGCUGGUCUGAGAGGAUGAUCGGCCACACUGGAACUGAGACACGGUCCAGACUCCUACGGGAGGCAGCAGUGGGGAAUAUUGGACAAUGGGCGCAAGCCUGAUCCAGCCAUACCGCGUGGGUGAAGAAGGCCUUCGGGUUGUAAAGCCCUUUUGUUGGGAAAGAAAAGCAGCAGGUUAAUACCCCGCUGUUCUGACGGUACCCAAAGAAUAAGCACCGGCUAACUUCGUG
rnacentral:rRNA from 1 species